rnacentral:rRNA from 1 species
UACGUAGGGUGCGAGCGUUGUCCGGAAUUAUUGGGCGUAAAGCGCGCGUAGGCGGUUUAACAAGUCAGAGGUGAAAGCCCUGGGCUCAACCCAGGAAUUGCCUUUGAAACUGUUAGACUUGAGUGUCGGAGGGGAUAGCGGAAUUGCUAAUGUAGAGGUGAAAUUCGUAGAUAUUAGCAGGAACACCGGUGGCGAAGGCGGCUAUCUGGACGACAACUGACGCUGAGGCGCGAAAGCGA